rnacentral:tRNA from 1 species
CUAGACAGAUGGGCUUCGAUCCCAUGAAUAUGUAGUUAACAGCUACAUGCCCAACCCAACAGGCUUCUGCCUA